rfam:Nematostella vectensis strain CH2 x CH6 NEMVEscaffold_350_Cont24649, whole genome shotgun sequence.
ACCAGGAUGGCCGAGUGGUUAAGGCGUUGGACUUAAGUUCCAAUGUACAAAUGUACGCGUGGGUUCGAACCCCACUCCUGGUA